UAGGUUGGUAAAUGUGAUAAAUGAGAUAACCUGCACCCCUUUUAUGUCGGUAUGUGAUAAAUGAGAUAACCUACACCCCUUGCAUGUCGGUAAAUGUGAUAAAUGAGAUAACCUGAACCCCUUGUAUAUCAGUAAAUGUGAGAAAUGAGAUAACCUACACCCCUUGUAUGUCGGUAAAUGUGAGAAAUGAGAUAACCUACACCCCUUGUAUGUUGGUAAAUGUGAUAAAUGAGAUAACCUACACCCCUUGUAUGUUGGUAAAUGUGAGAAAUGAGAUAACCUACACCCCUUGUAUGUCAGUAAAUAUGAGAAAUGAGAUAACCUACACCCCUUGUAUGUUGGUAAAUGUGAGAAAUGAGAUAACCUACACCCCUUGUAUGUUGGUAAAUGUGAGAAAUGAGAUAACCUACACCCCUUGUAUGUUGGUAAAUGUGAGAAAUGAGAUAACCUACACCCCUUGUAUGUCAGUAAAUGUGAGAAAUGAGAUAACCUGCACCCCUUGUAUAUCGGUAAAUGUGAUUAAUGAGAUACCCUACACCCAUUGUAUGUCAGUAAAUGUGAUAAAUGAGGUACCCUACACCCCUUGUAUGUCAGUAAAUGUGAUAAAUGAGGUACCCUACACCCCUUGUAUGUCGGUAAAUGUGAUGAGGUAACUUUUUUUGUUUACAUCUCAGCCUAUAGCGCCGGUAGGCUUUCUUCAGAGGCCUGGUGGUCGGCCCAAGCCCGUCAUGGCACAGGCAAUUUUUAUAGUGGCGCUAGUUAUGCUUGGCUCAUGCUGCCCCCUGGAACUCAUUUUUGAUUCGCUUGUACGGUUUCUUCUAGAAUCCGGGAUGAUAGGUGGUCUUCUGGACAGCCUGUGGAUAGUCUUAGCCACUCAGUGGUGACUAAAAAAUCCCACGUGGUAGCGUGGGGAUUCGAAUCAACAUUGUCCAUGGCGUGAUGAAUGCUGCCCCCACACGCUAAUCACUCAACCACCGCCUACCCUUGUAUGUCGGUAAAUGUGAAAAAUGAGAUAACCUAAACCCCUUGUAUGUCAGUAAAUGUGAUAAAUGAGGUAACCUGAAACCUUGUAUGUCAGUAAAUGUGAUAAAUGAGAUAACCUGCACCCCUUGUAUGUCGGUAAAUGUGAUAAAUAAGAUAACUUACACCCCUUGUAUGUUGGUAAAUGUGAUAAACGAGAUAACCUACACCCUUUGUAUGUCAGUAUAUGUAAUAAAUGAGAUAACCUGCACCCCAUGUAUGUCAGUAAAUGUGAUGAAUGAGAUAACCAACACCCUUUGUAUGUCGGUAAAUGUGAUAAAUGAGAUAACCUACACCCCUUGUAUGUCGGUAUAUGUGAUAAAUGAGAUAACCUACGCUCUUCUGAUUGAUGGUCAUGUUUCUUGGAUUCUCUCCAUUUAAUGGUAGGCUAUCUGAUUUAUGGGGUCCAUGUCAUUCUUGAAUUUGGCCAUUUUCCCGUAAAAGCUGCCAUGCUGUCUUGCCGCUAUCUUGCCUGGACAAAUUACGAUAUCAACACUGUGUUUGUAAACAUUGGGUUCCGCGCAUGCGCAGAUCAGGAUGGGAUGUCUUAGGAUACGUGGAUGUCAGAUGACAUAACACCGGCGCACUUAAAAUCAAAACCUUAUUGCUUAUGUUCUUCUUGUAACUAAUUUAUUUAUGGACCAAUAUCUUUUAUUCAGAAAGCUAUUUAAUCAGGAAGGAUAGGAGAUUAAUGAUCACUAUCGCUUGUUUUUUAUAGAAUAGUAAAAAAUAUUUCCUAGAUAUCGAUGAUAAAAUAUUAAAAAGUUGUAAAAUGUUUGUGUCAAAAAUCUAAAUCAACUUCAAACAAAAGUUAAAAUAGUGAACAUGCAGUAAUUUCUUUUUCAUACUUUCAUAAACUGAAUAAAAAGAGUAGACUUAAAUAAAUGCCUAAAAUAAGAAGUUAAGAUAACAUUUUUUCUUUACCAUGUCCUUUAUACCAAAAGAAAGAGGAAAAAUAAAAAUAUUUAUAAGCAAAUAAUUAAGUUAUUACUUAUUUGAAAUUAUUACUUAAAGAACGCCUAAAAUAGGUGUUUCUUGCAAUUAUUAUUUUAAAAAAUAAUAGUAAUUAUUAUCGGGUGAUCGGAAUGGUGAUCGGAACAGCAGUAUUUAAAUAAAUGAUUGGAUGAUUGGAAUCGGAUCAGUUGCUCAAACUGAUCGGAUGAACGGGGAUCGGAACAGCAAAAAAGUGAUCAGUGCCCACUACUGAUAUAUAUAUAUAUAUAUAUAUAUAUAUAUAUAUAUAUAUAUAUAUAUAUAUAUAUAUAUAUAUAUAUAUAUAUAUAUAUAUAUAUAUAAACAAUACAAACUUGUUUCAAGGCUCUGUGUAGAGUAUUGUAGACAAUAAAUGCGAAGUACCAACUCCUCCCCACUCGCUAGCUCGAAAUUUUGUGGGCCAACUUUUUUAGCCGAAUAUAUGUUUCGAAGUGAAAUUUAGUAUCUUAUAGUAUCCACAAAAUCCUCAUACGCCUAUAAGUUCCCGAGUUACACCGAGAAAACUGUAUUUUUUUUCUCUCCUGUCAGAGUAGGCUAACAAAUAAAAAUCGCUCAAAUCUCCUCAUCUAUGUUCCUUAGAAAGGUUGCCAUAUGUUACUAUUAAGAAACUUAUCCCAACAAACGACGCUCCCAAAUUCGACGCACUUUCAUCGAAAACUUAAUUAUUAAUCACUUUUUAACUUUUAUGACGCGUUUCGCGUCAUCGCCCGCCAGGACCUUUUACCCUUUGAUGACACGAGACGCGUCAUCGUGCGUGAGAGGGUUAAUAUACUGUUUUCUUCUAAAUUCUCCACCCAUCUGUUUUUUUAUAAUUUUCUCACACAUCUUUGCUACCACACUUGUUAAUGACACUGUGUGUGUGUGUGUGUGUGUGUGUGUGUGUGUGUGUUUUGUUAUUCGAUCCAUGUGUUUAUGUGGUUGAGUCAAGAUGGGUGGGUUGGCCGCGCACGUGCAGUGGUGACAAUAACUGGCAUGGAGGAACCACAGGCAUGCCACACCCACAACUGUUUCUUCCUUCCAUUUAACUGCAGCAACAAGGCCAUAACUUAGGUGAUGGCAGCACAAGCCGUGACAGCCCUUACUUUAACAGACGACACCAUGUUGAUACAGGGCUUUGUUUACGUUGUGGAUGUGGAUAUGGGCAACCGACCUUGGCCGUGUGUGACGCACACCCAGAAAAGUUGGAGUUGCCAGUUGCCCUAGCUGGCGCCAACUCGGUGGGAAGAAAAAAGCCCUGUGUGACACCAGCUUACGGAUAACCGUGAACUCGCUCCUGGUUGGGCGUAUGGGCGUUGCCCGUAGCCCCAACGGUUGGACGAAAAUGGCCAUUGUGACACCGCCUUAAGGAAGUGAAGCCACUGAUAGGGUGAGCAUCAGCGAUGACGUCAUUGGACUCCCAGCGAAUCAUCAGCGUGUUUUUAGAACUGUCAGCCAAUCGUAACUGCAGCUUCAAAAUGACUCGUUCUCUCUCUCUCUCUCUCUCGCCAUAGCCACAAUGUUUGGAGUAAAACGUCCAGUGUGAUACUACCCUUAAAGGUAGCGUGCGUGACGCCGAUGGUAAGUAGACGUGACCCGUACGUGUCAAAGCAGCGCGAAACUCCGGGUGAUAAUGCGCGAAAGUUGGGAUGGUAAGAAUUUAGGACUAACCGCGAAACUCAUGGAUCGUGAAACUUGGAUAGCAUUAAACUCGAGAGGGUACUGUAUUCAUCACUUCUACUAUUUCACUUAUACUAUCAAAAGUUUCACCAUUAACCUUAACUUUCUGGAUCUCAUCUCUAUUUUCCAACUUUCCAUUUAUGAACUCAUAAAACAGUUUUGGCUGGUCUUUGCACUUAUUUACAAUAUUUUUCUCAAAAUUCCUUUUUUCUUCUCUUCUUCUCUUGUGUGUGUGUGUCUGUGUGUGUGUGUGUGUGUGUGUGUGUGUGUGUGUAUUUACCCAUUUGUAUUUACCUAUUUGUAGUCUACUGGGCCCGAGCUAGGCUCUAAUAGUCCCGUCUCCAUAUCGCCAUUCAUCCAUCCUUUCCUUCAUUUGUUGGACCCUGCUCGCCUCCACCACCUCUUCCCACAAGCUGUUCCAAGUGUUAACACUUCUAUGUGGAAAACUAUACUUCUUCAAGUCACUCAAACAAGUUCCUUUACAGGUAACUCUCGAUUUACGCGAGUUUGGUUUACGUGUUUUUUAAAUAACUCGGGGUCCAAAAUCCAAAUAAAUGUUUAAUUUACACAUUUUUUUCAUUUAUACACGAUAUUUUAUGGAGUGGCCACCAGAUGUCUCACGCAACUGGACUCACACGGCGCCGCAGCCACACAGCUGAGCUCAGUUCUUCCCGCGCGCCACUUGAACAACAAUACAGUACCCACACUGCCACGCUACUCAACAAUAGGGGUGGGGAGGUACCAGUACCAGUACUGCUACUAAUGGUACCAGCUAUGCGGUACAGUACCGGUACCAGACUGCUCGAUACCGGUACCCUUACUAGCCAAUCGCUCAUGGUGUCCCUCAUUUCUUCCUCACACGAGUGAGGCUGAGACUGAGUGCCUGAGUGGAUAUCUCAGUGAUAUGGGUAUUCUCUCUCUCUCUCUCUCUCUCUCUCUCUCUCUCUCUCUCUCUCUCUCUCUCUCUCUCCACUGAAUGAAGUGAAUAUUUAUUUUUCACCAUCAGUGGUCCAGUGUAACACGAUUGACUCCUUUAAAAACAAGCUCGACCGUCACUUCCUUGAACUUAAUAUUAACUAGAGUAGAAAAGCAACAUUUUGGAGCCAUCUGAUUAAUGUAAAAUCACUUAGGUUUAAGGACAGACCACCUAGUCUGGACCAUGGGGUUUGUGUGGUCUGAUUUUCUAUGUAAUUCUAUGUAAUUAUCUCUCUCUCUCUCUCUCUCUCUUCACUGAAUGAAGUGAAUAUUUAUUUUUCGAUAGAAACCUACCUCUUGUUUGAUUUACAUUGUUUUUGAUUUACGCGACCUCUUCAAGGACACAAUACUCGCAUAAAUCGAGAGUUACCUGUAUUAAGUUUCUUUCCAUGUCCUCUCAGCCCCUGCAUUCUCGCAGUUGAGAAGACAUCAUCUCUAUCCACCUCAUCAAACUUUUUUACCAACUUAUACAGCAUGAUCAGAUCUCCUCUCUCCCUUCUUUUUUAUGUGUUGUCAAGUCCACCUCCUUCAAUUUGUCUUCAUACGUCAUAUUCGAGAGUUCUGGGACCAUUUUCAUUGCAAUUCUCUGUAUUCUUUCCAACUUUCUGAUAUCCUUCUUUUUGUGAGGCGACCACACAACUGCAGCAUAUUCAAGUUUUGGUCUUAUCAAUGUUGUUAUUAUUUUCUUCAUCAUUUCUUUGUCCAUGAAAUGGAAUGCUACCCUUAUAUUUUGCAUCAUCCUGUAGGUUUCUCCAAACAACUUGUUUAUGUGCUUUUCUGGGGUUAGUGUGUCUUGCAUCUUUACUCCCAAAUCUUUUUCUUCAUGUACCACCUUUAAGUUUUCUUCUCCCAUCCUGUAUGUUUUCCUUGGUCAUUUUUUUACUUAUCCCCAUUUAGAUGACAUGGCAUUUAUUUGCAUUAAAUUCCAUCUCCCAUAACUGGGUCCAUCUAUACACCUUAUCUUGGAAUUUUUACAGAUUUUCACAGUCUUCCUUCAUCCUCACUUUUCUUAUUAACUUUGCAUCGUCUGCAAAAAGGCUGAUAUAACUUUUUAUACCCUUCGGCAUAUCAUUUAUAUAUAUUAUGAACAUUAGUGGUACCAGAACUGAGCCUUGAGGAACUCCACUCUCUACUCUCCUCCAAUUUGAUUUCUCUUCCCUAAUCACCUAAUUCCAUUUCUCUUCCUGUUAAGUAAUCCUUCAUCCACUCGAUAACCUUUCCGCCCAUUCCUCCCCACUGCUGUAGUUUCCAGAUUAACCUUUUGUGCGGAACCUUGUCAACAGCUUUGUUCAAAUCGAGAUACACGCAGUCAGCCCAUCCUUCUCUCUCUUGCACCACGUCUACUGCUCUUGAGUAGAAACAUAGUAAGUUAGUGACACAUGAUUUCCCUUUUCUAAAUCCAAACUCUCCCUUAUUUAUCAUGUUUUCCUUUUCUAAAUGUUCAGCCCAUUGGUUUUUUAUUACACUUUCACAAAUCUUGCACAUUACACUUGUUAAAGAGACAGGUGUGUGUGUGUGUGUGUGUGUGUGUGUGUGUGUGUGUGUGUGUGUGUGUGUGUAUAUAUA